rnacentral:lncRNA from 1 species
UCAUGUGUUAAAAAAUUAAUCCAUCUCAUUAUGUUAUGUCAUCAUCAAAAUGCCAUAUCAUCCAAAUUAAGGCUCGAUGAGGGGCUCGCGUCUGAUUAGUUAGUUGGUGAGGCAAUAGCUUACAAAUUUUAAUAUCAUUCUUAGUUGUUUGUAAAGUAAUUUUUAAUAAAAAUGUAACUUUAAAUUCUUUAAAAUUGAGAUAGAUGGAUAACAUUGACAAAUUAAAAAAGUAAAAGCAUCAAAUUCAAAUUUUAACUAAUUUUUGCCUGAUGGCUAAAAAAAUUUAGAAAUACAUGUAAAGUGAAAGUUAGAAUCUCAUAAUCCCCAUCCUCUAUCCCUUAUUCAAUAUAUCGAAUAU